GACGAACGCUGGCGGCGUGCUUAACACAUGCAAGUCGAACGGAAAGGCCCUGCUUUUGUGGGGUGCUCGAGUGGCGAACGGGUGAGUAACACGUGAGUAACCUGCCCUUAACUUUGGGAUAACUUCAGGAAACUGGGGCUAAUACCGAAUAGAAUCUCCUGCUGCAGGGUGGGGGUUGGAAAGUUUCGGCGGUUGGGGAUGGACUCGCGGCUUAUCAGCUUGUUGGUGGGGUAGUGGCUUACCAAGGCUUUGACGGGUAGCCGGCCUGAGAGGGUGACCGGCCACAUUGGGACUGAGAUACGGCCCAGACUCCUACGGGAGGCAGCAGUGGGGAAUAUUGCACAAUGGGCGGAAGCCUGAUGCAGCAACGCCGCGUGCGGGAUGACGGCCUUCGGGUUGUAAACCGCUUUCGCCUGUGACGAAGCGUGAGUGACGGUAAUGGGUAAAGAAGCACCGGCUAACUACGUG
rnacentral:rRNA from 1 species